CGUUUAUAACCGCAGCUUCUCGUCGUCUCAGAGCCCCGCCCUCUAUCUCACUGUCGGAGACUUGGUGACAAAUCUGAUCAUCAGGGUGGUGCUGGUCCUCUUCCUCCUGAUCACAGGGACCAUUUCCCUCUUCUUCUACUGUCGGGCCAGUAGGGGGCGCUGCAGACUGAAGGCACGCAACACAGGAUGAGAUACACGUCCACGACCAGGUCUACGAUCAUGUCCACAUCUACGUCCACGUCCACAUCCAUGUCCAUCCUGCAGAAUAGUUGUGUGUUGUUUGUGUUGCAGAAUAGUUGUGUGUGUGUAGUUUGUGUCCCAGUCCCAGUUCUGGUCCUGGAGUCCUGGUCUGGUCUGAAUGUUCAGUGUGUUUGUGUUUCAUUGGUUCCUGGUUCUUCUUGGACUUGGACCCAGACCUGUUCAGUCCUGACUCAAAGGACAGCAGAGGAGCUGUUCAGCUCUUUGGUUCCAGCUCACACAUGAACUCUGCUCUGAAAGCAGAUGCAAACAUUUACAUUUACAUUUACGCAUUUGGCAGAUGCUGUUUUCCAAAGCGACUUACAGGGGAAAACUAAAAUAAAAG